rnacentral:rRNA from 1 species
GACGUAGGGCGCGAGCGUUGUCCGGAUUUAUUGGGCGUAAAGCGCACGUAGGCGGCUUUCUAAGUCAGGGGUGAAAUCCUGGAGCUCAACUCCAGAACUGCCUUUGAUACUGGAGAGCUUGAGUCCGGAAGAGGUGAGUGGAACUCCGAGUGUAGAGGUGAAAUUCGUAGAUAUUCGGAAGAACACCAGUGGCGAAGGCGGCUCACUGGUCCGGUACUGACGCUGAUGUGCGAAAGC